GCGUUUCCUCUUCGUGGGAGAAGCCUGAGGCAGCCGGGGAGAGGGUCCCCAGAUCCCCCUGCAGGGAGAGGGCCGCACCCUCCUCCCUCCCGGGAGGAGCAGCUGGCAGUGGGGCGCGGUGCCUGGACUGGGUGCUCAGACGAGCCUUCGUCGCGGUUGCGGUACUUGUACAUGGCGUAGAGGAGGAUGAGGAUGCAGAGCGCCGCCGCCGCCACGAUGCCCACCACCAUGCCCGUGGUGCUGCUGGAUUCACGGAUCACCUCCACCGCGCCCGGCGGGCCACGCUCCCCCGGACCCGUGGGGUUGGCUGUGGGCAGACGGGGGAAACCGGGAGCUGAGGUCACGCCGGGGCGCAGGGGAGGCGGCCGCCGCGGCUCGAAGGCCGUGGGGACCCCAGGCCCCAGGGGAAAAGAGAGAGAAGAGAGAAGAGAGGGCGUCAGCGAGGGCCGGGGCGCGGGCGGCCGGCACAGAGAGAGAAACAACAGCCUCACACCCAAAUCGGUUCAAUUGGCUUUGGCGGAGACUACGCGGGCCGGGCCCGCCCGCCAGCCGGCCAGCGCCUGCGCUUUAAGCGGGCUGCGGCUCGGAUGCCCUGGGCACCCCACGCGCGGGCUCUGCGACUCUGGGUUUUGGUCUUUUUGUUUCGUCUUAAGAAACCAAACGGAACAGAAAGGAAAGGAAAUUGAAAAGAAACGGAAUUUUUUUUUCUACUGGUUUAAGGCUUUUAAAACAUACAACAGCAGCAUUUAAACAAACCUAACAACAAUAUCUUUUAGGUUUUUUUUUUAUAUAUAUUUCUUUUUGCUUUUUUUUUUUUGCUUUUGUUUUUAAAAAAGAAGAUAGCAUACCACGGAAUUCAGGCAACUUACAUCAACAAAUAGGCCGUGUGAUUUUAGCAUGAAGAAAAAAAUUACAAACAGAGCUGUGUAAGCGGGUUCUCCCGAAAAAAAUUAAGAAAAAACAACUUUUCCGUACAA